rnacentral:tRNA from 1 species
GGACAGGUGUCCGAGUGGCUGAAGGAGCCGGUCUCGAAAACCGGUGUACCGGUAACGGUACCGUGGGUUCGAAUCCCACCCUGUCCG